rnacentral:rRNA from 1 species
CAGCAGCCGGGGAAUACGAAGGGUGCAAGCGUUACUCGGAAUUACUGGGCGUAAAGCGUGUGUAGGUGGUUGUUUAAGUCUGUCGUGAAAGCCCUGGGCUCAACCUGGGAAUUGCGAUGGAUACUGGGCGACUAGAGUGCGGUAGAGGAUAGUGGAAUUUCCGGUGUAGCAGUGAAAUGCGUAGAGAUCGGGAGGAACAUCAGUGGCGAAGGCGGCCAUCUGGGACAACACUGACGCUGAGGCACGAAAGCGUGGGGAGCAAACAGGAUUAGAUACCCCCGUAGUCCCUGUCUCUUAUACA